rnacentral:rRNA from 1 species
AGUGAACGCUGGCGGUAGGCCUAACACAUGCAAGUCGAACGGCAGCACAGUAAGAGCUUGCUCUUACGGGUGGCGAGUGGCGGACGGGUGAGGAAUACAUCGGAAUCUACUUUUUCGUGGGGGAUAACGUAGGGAAACUUACGCUAAUACCGCAUACGACCUACGGGUGAAAGCAGGGGAUCUUCGGACCUUGCGCGACUGAAUGAGCCGAUGUCGGAUUAGCUAGUUGGCGGGGUAAAGGCCCACCAAGGCGACGAUCCGUAGCUGGUCUGAGAGGAUGAUCAGCCACACUGGAACUGAGACACGGUCCAGACUCCUACGGGAGGCAGCAGUGGGGAAUAUUGGACAAUGGGCGCAAGCCUGAUCCAGCCAUACCGCGUGGGUGAAGAAGGCCUUCGGGUUGUAAAGCCCUUUUAUUGGGAAAGAAAAGCAGCAGGUUAAUACCCCGCUGUUCUGACGGUACCCAAAGAAUAAGCACCGGCUAACUUCGUG